CUAGAUUUCGAAAACUAUUUAAA
rnacentral:snRNA from 1 species